GAUGGAUUAGAGGAAGAGAAAGGCAGAAGUAGAGAGAACUAUUUAGGAGGUGAGGGCAGUUGUUUAGGCAAGAAGUAGUGGAGGUUUGGACUACAGCAGUGUUGUGGUGGGAGUGGAGAGAAAUUUAAGAGCAGUGUCAAAACUUAAAGGCACUGUUUUGUUUUUUUCUUUUUAAAUCUAGGUCAUUUUAUAAUUUCUGGGCCAGAGAAUGGGCAGUAAGGGGAAGAAAACCUAAGAGAAAAUAUCUAAAUGUAGACAUGGCUUUUACUUACUAAAUUUGUGAAGGCAUUCAUCUAUAAUACAGUUCCAAUUUUUUUGAAUUUCCUUUUCUAAGGAUGCCUAUUUUUUCCUUUGAAAAUGAAUUAUAUAACAUAGACAAUAAUUAAAAGGCCCCAGGGUCAAAAGCUCUUCCCACAAAUAACUGUCCACACACUAUUAGUUCAUUUCCUAUACACUCUCCUGGCAAGGCCCAACAAAAGCUAAAAGAAGAUGGAUGGACUUUGUAGGGUGACCUGAGGGUCAACUGAUUCAGGGAGCUGAACUCAUCAAUACAGACAGCAAAUUCCAUCACAGAAUUCCAUCCACUAUUAGUAGCAUGUAUUAGGUUGGUAAAAAAGUAACUGUGGCUUUUGCCAUUACUUUUAAUGGCAAAAAUCUAUAAUUACUUUUGCACCAACCAAUACAAACCUUUCCUGUUGCAAGCAUCCAACUGUGCCUCGAAAAGUCAAGUAUAGCAUAUUUCUCACAAAGCUGCCCCAAAGUCAAGGCCCAGCCCUUUCUUGCCACAGUGGUUUUACAAAUAGCACAUUUAGAACACAAAUACCUAAUGCAUGUGGGGCUUCAAACCUAAAUGAUAGGUUGAUGGGUGCAGCAAACCAUCAUGGCACAUGUAUACCUAUGUAACAAACCUGCAUAUUCUACACAUGUAUCCCAGAACUUAAAGUACAAUAAAUCUAAAAAAAAAAGGAAUAUAAAACUGCAUAUGCUUUAUUAACAAAACUAUUAUGGUGGAUUAAAUGGUACCCUUUCAAAAGAUAUGUCUGCCUCUAAAUGUGACCUUAUUUGGAAAAAGGAUCUUUGCAGAUGUAAUUACGAAUCUUAAGAUGAGCUCAUUCUGGGCUAGGGUAGGCCUAAAUCCAUUGAUAGGUCCUUAUAAGAGAAGGGAAGGGAAACAGAAUACACAGGGAGAAUGGCAUGUGAUGAUGCAGGCAGAGACGGAAGUGAUGCAUCCACAAGCCAAGAACACCAAGGAUUGCCAGCAGCCACUGGAGGCUCGGAGAGAGGCACAGAACAGUCUCCCUCAGAGCCUCCAGAGGGAACCAACCCUAAUGACACCUUGAUUUUGGACUUCUAGCCUCCACAAAAACAGACUAGAAGGAAAUCACAGACUAGUGCUAAGUGUACUGGUGAUUGGCUUAUAAAGUUGUGCUUGUUUUUUGCGUAAAUCGCUGGACUUUGCUGCAUUUUCCAAAUUGUCUAAACUGCAUAUUUAUCAUCCAACAAUUUGAUCAAAAUUAUUUUAGAAUAAGAAGUACACCUGCCUUAAAAAUGUUUUUAUCAAGGAGAUACAGAGGACUACUAGAGGGUAGAGAAGAAAAAGGAGGGCAAAGGCUGAAAAACUACCUAUUGGAUACUAUGCCCACU
rnacentral:lncRNA from 10 species